rnacentral:rRNA from 1 species
GAAAGGGUUGCAAUAAACUGGUGGCUGCGACUGUUUAAUAAAAACACAGCACUCUGCAAACACGAAAGUGGACGUAUAGGGUGUGACGCCUGCCCGGUGCUGGAAGAUUAAAUGAUGGGGUGCAAGCUCUUGAUUGAAGUCCCAGUAAACGGCGGCCGUAACUAUAACGGUCCUAAGGUAGCGAAAUUCCUUGUCGGGUAAGUUCCGACCUGCACGAAUGGCGUAACGAUGGCCACACUGUCUCCUCCCGAGACUCAGCGAAGUUGAAAUGUUUGUGAUGAUGCAAUCUACCCGCGGCUAGACGGAAAGACCCCAUGAACCUUUACUGUAGCUUUGCAUUGGACUUUGAACCAAUCUGUGUAGGAUAGGUGGGAGGCUUUGAAGCGGGGACGCUAGUUCUCGUGGAGCCAACCUUGAAAUACCACCCUGGUUUGUUUGAGGUUCUAACCUUGGUCCGUUAUCCGGAUCGGGGACAGUGCAUGGUAGGCAGUUUGACUGGGGCGGUCUCCUCCUAAAGUGUAACGGAGGAGUUCGAAGGUACGCUAGAUACGGUCGGACAUCGUGUUGAUAGUGCAAUGGCAUAAGCGUGCUUAACUGCGAGACUGACAAGUCGAGCAGGUACGAAAGUAGGACAUAGUGAUCCGGUGGUUCUGUAUGGAAGGGCCAUCGCUCAACGGAUAAAAGGUACUCUGGGGAUAACAGGCUGAUUCCUCCCAAGAGUUCAUAUCGACGGGGGAGUUUGGCACCUCGAUGUCGGCUCAUCACAUCCUGGGGCUGUAGCCGGUCCCAAGGGUAUGGCUGUUCGCCAUUUAAAGUGGUACGUGAGCUGGGUUUAAAACGUCGUGAGACAGUUUGGUCCCUAUCUGCCGUGGGCGUUGGAAAUUUGAAGGGGGCUGCUCCUAGUACGAGAGGACCGGAGUGGACGAACCUCUGGUGUACCGGUUGUCACGCCAGUGGCAUUGCCGGGUAGCUAAGUUCGGAAGAGAUAACCGCUGAAAGCAUCUAAGCGGGAAACUUGCCUUGAGAUGAGAUUUCCCAGAGCCUUGAGCUCUUUGAAGGGUCGUUCGAGACCAGGACGUUGAUAGGCUGGGUGUGGAAGUGCAGUAAUGCAUUAAGCUAACCAGUACUAAUUGCCCGUACGGCUUGUCCCUAUAACCUUAGCAGGU